rnacentral:rRNA from 1 species
UGGGGAAUAUUGGACAAUGGGGGCAACCCUGAUCCAGCAAUGCCGCGUGAGUGAUGAAGGCCUUAGGGUUGUAAAUCUCUUUUACCCGGGAUGAUAAUGACAGUACCGGGAGAAUAAGCCCCGGCUAACUCCGUGCCAGCAGCCGCGGUAAUACGGAGGGGGCUAGCGUUGUUCGGAAUUACUGGGCGUAAAGCGCACGUAGGCGGCGAUUUAAGUCAGAGGUGAAAGCCCGGGGCUCAACCCCGGAAUAGCCUUUGAGACUGGAUUGCUUGAACAUCGGAGAGGUGAGUGGAAUUCCGAGUGUAGAGGUGAAAUUCGUAGAUAUUCGGAAGAACACCAGUGGCGAAGGCGACUUACUGGACACAUAUUGACGCUGAGGUGCGAAAGCGUGGGGAGCAAACA